AAAAGAGAUGAAAUUAAUUAAUUUGGAACUAAUUUUUUUUUCAUUAUCCGGCAACCCUGAAUUUUCAAUGCAGCUGUCAAGAUUGCGACUGAAGGACUUGUAUCCAUGGUUAUAAAUAAAUUAUUAAAAAAAAAAAAAUGCAGCUGUCAAGUUGAACAAAAAUUUGUUGUUUUUUUGGCGAAGUUGAGAUAAAAUUGUUAUUUUAAACAUGAAAUUUACUCAAAAAAGGAGAAAUCAUGAAAAAGGUUAAACGUAGCGGUGUCCGUGAUGGCAUAUAUAAAGUUUUCAUUCGGUGUUUGUCAUAAUUUCAAGCUGAGAAACGAGAAAAAUAUUUGGCUAACGUUUACAAACGUACAGCAGAUUAUACCGGGGUUUCUGAAAGCACAGUACGCAGGAUAGUAGAGCAAUGGAGUAAAAAUGAAGGAGAAUAUCUACAAAAAAUAAAUAAAAAUAUUAUGUAGUUUUCAAA